GUUGACAAAUGCAAGCUUCACAACAACACUUUCCUCAUACAAAUUUUCGAGGUUCGUCACAAGUGGGCGAAGCCUUAUUUUAGUGGCAAGUUAUGUGCGAAGCAAACCAGUACGCAAAGAAGCGAGAUUGCAAACCAUUUGUUGAAAGGCUACAUCCCGCCUGCAUGCCCCAUGAACCUUUUUGUGAAGCAAUAUAGCAAAUUGCAGUUCGACGAAGCUGAAGAAGGAUUCCAAGAGAAGAGAACGAGGCUGGUGUGUGUUGAAGAAAAACUUAACGCAACUAGAUAA
rnacentral:rRNA from 1 species